rnacentral:RNase_P_RNA from 1 species
GAACAAAUCGGAGAUGAUCGCUGGCCGGUUCUUUCGGGAGCCGGUUAGAGGAAAGUCCGAACACCAAAAGGCAGCGUGCCCGGUGAAAACCGGGGAGUCGAAGGCGAGAGCCUUCUUCGACGGAUAGUGUCGCAGAAAAUAUACCGCCUCGCUUGCGAGGUAAGGGUGAAAUGGUGAGGUAAGAGCUCACCGCCCCGAGGGUGACCGAGGGGGCAGGACAAACCCCGCGCGGUGCAAGACAGAACAGGACAAACGGGUCGCCUGCCCGGUUCCUUCGGGAGUGUGUCCGGGUAUUAGUCGCACCCUUCGGGGAACGCGCCGGUUUCGACCGGCGGGUUAGAAAAAUGAUCGUCCUUUCCAUCCGGAGAGAACAGAAUUCGGCUUACGGGAUUUGUUCACCU